rnacentral:rRNA from 1 species
GAUGAACGCUGGCGGCGUGCCUAAAACAUGCAAGUCGAGCGGUAAGGCCCCUUCGGGGGUACACGAGCGGCGGACGGGUGAGUAACACGUGGGAAUCUACCCCAAACUGAGGGAUAAGCACCGGAAACGGUGUCUAAUACCGCAUAUGGUCUUCGGAUUAAAGCUUCGGCGGUUUGGGAAGAGCCCGCGCAAGAUUAGCUAGUUGGUAAGGUAAUGGCUUACCAAGGCGACGAUCUUUAGCUGGUUUGAGAGGAUGAUCAGCCACACUGGAACUGAGACACGGUCCAGACUCCUACGGGAGGCAGCAGUUAGGAAUCUUCCACAAUGGGCGAAAGCCUGAUGGAGCAACGCCGCGUGCAGGAUGAAUGCCUUCGGGUUGUAAACUGCUUUUAUGUGCGAAGAAUAUGACGGUAACACAUGAAUAAGGAUCGGCUAACUCCGUGCCAGCCGCCGCCGUAA